rfam:Bacillus amyloliquefaciens FZB42, complete genome.
UAAAAAGCGCAGAAGAGGAUAAGUAGCUUUGCUGAAGUUUUUCACAGAGAGCCGGUAACGCUGAGAGCCGGUAAAACAAAUCAAAGUGAACUCCCCUCAGAGUGCCGGUCUGAAAUGUAAAGAGUAGGACUCGGCCGAGUGAACGCAAUGUUUACUCGUUAUCAAAACGGAUAAUCAUUAUCCAUGAGACGGUCUGCAUAUGACCGUAAACAAGGGUGGUACCGCGGAGAGCAAAGCCUUUUCGCCCCUUUU